GAUCAUGGCUCAGAUUGAACGCUGGCGGAAUGCUUUACACAUGCAAGUCGAACGGCAGCACGGGGCAACCUGGUGGCGAGUGGCGAACGGGUGAGUAAUACAUCGGAACGUGCCCAAUCGUGGGGGAUAACGUAGCGAAAGUUACGCUAAUACCGCAUACGAUCUACGGAUGAAAGCGGGGGAUCGCAAGACCUCGCGCGAAUGGAGCGGCCGAUGUCAGAUUAGGUAGUUGGUGGGGUAAAGGCUCACCAAGCCAACGAUCUGUAGCUGGUCUGAGAGGACGACCAGCCACACUGGAACUGAGACACGGUCCAGACUCCUACGGGAGGCAGCAGUGGGGAAUUUUGGACAAUGGGCGCAAGCCUGAUCCAGCCAUUCCGCGUGCAGGAUGAAGGCCUUCGGGUUGUAAACUGCUUUUGUACGGAACGAAACGGCGAGCUCUAAUACAGUUUGCUAAUGACGGUACCGUAAGAAUAAGCACCGGCUAACUACGUG
rnacentral:rRNA from 1 species